rnacentral:hammerhead_ribozyme from 1 species
AUGCAGCUGACGAGCUCCAUAUAGGACGAAACGCGUGUCCUGGAU